CAAACGACUCUCGGCAACGGAUAUCUCGGCUCACGCAUCGAUGAAGAACGUAGCAAAAUGCGAUACUUGGUGUGAAUUGCAGAAUCCCGUGAACCAUCGAGUUUUUGAACGCAAGUUGCGCCCGAAGCCAUUCGGACAAGGGCACGUCUGCCUGGGCGUCACGC
rnacentral:rRNA from 2 species